UGUAUCGCUAGUUUUAAUGCUACCUGGGGUUUUAUGCCAAUGUAUCAGUCUAAUUUCUCUGACAGAAGCCUGAAAAGAUUUAAAAAUCCCAGCUGAUCUAUGAUGAGGACGUCGAGCUGCGAAGGCGGCUGGCAGAACUUCUGCUGCAGGAUCUGCAGGAUGGGCUCCAUCACCCUGGGGGUGUCGCGCAGCGCCACGGCGAUGUGGCCCAAAGCUCUGAUGGUGUGGUCUGGGAUCAGAUGUAGAGACGGUUGGACAGACUGGCGAGGAAAGCCUCCACGAUGACGUUAUCCAUCGUGAGGCCAGCUUUCAGGCACCUGGGGAGACAGCAAAGAGGGAAUCCUGGUUUGGAACUCGGGGAAAAAAAUAACUUUCUGUUAUGCUAACUGCUUUGCUACCUGAUCCUUUUGAGGACUUUCUACUGGCAAAGCACAUUAAAAUGCAUAUUAGGACCUCA